rnacentral:rRNA from 1 species
UCAUUUAAAGAAAGCGUAAUAGCUCACUGGUCGAGUCGGCCUGCGCGGAAGAUGUAACGGGGCUAAACCAUGCACCGAAGCUGCGGCAGCGACGCUUAGGCGUUGUUGGGUAGGGGAGCGUUCUGUAAGCCGUCGAAGGUGUGCUGUGAGGCAUGCUGGAGGUAUCAGAAGUGCGAAUGCUGACAUAAGUAACGAUAAAGCGGGUGAAAAGCCCGCUCGCCGGAAGACCAAGGGUUCCUGUUCAACGUUAAUCGGAGCAGGGUGAGUCGACCCCUAAGGCGAGGCCGAAAGGCGUAGUCGAUGGGAAACAGGUUAAUAUUCCUGUACUCGGUGUUACUGCGAAGGGGGGACGGAGAAGGCUAUAUCAGCCGGGCGACGGUUGUCCCGGUUUAAGCGUGUAGGCGGAGKGUCCAGGUAAAUCCGGACGCUURUUAACGCUGAGGCGUGACGACGAGGCACUACGGUGCUGAAGUGAUAAAUGCCCAGCUUCCAGGAAAAGCCUCUAAGCAUCAGGUAACACAGAAUCGUACCCCAAACCGACACAGGUGGUCAGGUAGAGAAUACCAAGGCGCUUGAGAGAACUCGGGUGAAGGAACUAGGCAAAAUGGUGCCGUAACUUCGGGAGAAGGCACGCUGGCGCGUAGGUGGAGGGACCUGCUCCCCGAGCCGAAGCCAGUCGAAGAUACCAGCUGGCUGCAACUGUUUAUUAAAAACACAGCACUGUGCAAACACGAAAGUGGACGUAUACGGUGUGACGCCUGCCCGGUGCCGGAAGGUUAAUUGAUGGGGUUAUCCGCAAGGAGAAGCUCUUGAUCGAAGCCCCGGUAAACGGCG